AUGCGAGAAUUACAAGAAAUCACAGAUAAUUUCUGCAAGGAGCGAGCAAUUGGUGAAGGAGCGUAUGGAAAGGUUUACAGGGGUGCACUUGGCGAUGGCAAAGAGAUUGCAGUGAAGUUGCUUCAUAACAGGCUAGACAUUGACGAUGGGCAAUUCCGACGUGAGUUUGAUAACCUAAUGAGGCUCGAACAUCAGAACAUUGUACAGUUAGUUGGCUAUUGCUAUGAGACACAACAUAAACCUAUCAUAUGCACGGAAGAAACCAUUUUUGCUGAAGAGAUAACCAAAGCGCUAUGCUUCGAGUAUAUGCAAAAAGGGAGCCUGCAGAAGCAUCUCUCUGAUGAGAACAUGUUCCCAAAACUUGCGGAUUUUGGUUUGUCUAGGCUCUUCCGUGAACAUAAAACGAUGGUCGCAGAAAGUGUUUCAGGAACAAUUGGGUACAUGCCGCCAGAAUACAUACAUGAAAAUGCAAUCUCGAACAAGUUUGACAUAUUCAGCUUGGGUGUUGCAAUGACAAAGGUAAUUGCAGGGCCAAGCGGCCACACCAGAAGCGCUGAAAUGUCUCACCAAGAGUUUCUUGACCAAGUACAAACAAACUGGAGACGCAGGUUGCGUUCAACGUGUUCUUCUCACAAGCAAUUAAAAGCACACUGCCAUCAAGUGAAUAUAUGUACUGAGAUAGCACUGAGCUGCAUGGAGUACGAUAGGCACAAAAGGCCUGAUAUAAUAGAUAUUAUCCAUCGACUAAAUGACACAGAAGCUACCAUUGACAGGGUGCAACCACGAGUACAUGGUAUCACCAGCAGUGCUCCAAAAGAAUUAAUUAGUGUGGCACAGGGAGCACCCGGCCUUGUCAUGGUCGGUGAGUCGCAAUCAUGGACGCAAGGAGACAUGGUGAAGCUACACACGUUCACGAGUAAAGCGAUUUUGUGUGGCAAGACGUGCAACAAAUUUCCAGUCCUAGUGCGUAUCACAGCAGCGCCAUGGCGCCACACAGAGGAGAUGCCACGUGCUGGCGUGGACAUUGUUGUGGUUGUUGACAUCAACAUGGGCAGGGUGAGUCAUUGGAAGCUGAAAACCAUCAAGCAAGCCCUAAUGACAGUCAUCGACAAGCUCGGCCCAAACGACCGGUUCUCUAUUGUGUGGUUCAAGGGAAGUGUGCCCCACACUAUGAAGUUAACCUUCACGUCCAACAAAGGCAAGGAAAUUGCCAAGGUCAUGAUCAAUGAGCUUGAUGGGAGCCAUGGCAACAAUACAAUUGCCGCUCUGCGAGAGGGAGUUGAGAUCCUGAUAGGGCGUGGAGCGGAAGAGGCAUACGACCGUGUAGGUUGCAUCCUGUUCGUCUCCAAUGGUGAUGGCAUGGCAGCCCUCAAGACAGAGAUCUCUUCUGAAUUCCCCGUGCACACAAUUGGUGUGCAGAAACACCACGAUCCGGAGGUCAUGAAGUAUAUCGCCGACAAGACCUGUGGCACCUACUCCUUCCUUGAUGAAGAUGACAACUGCAUCCAUGAAGCCUUCAAGUUAUUCACAACUGGCAUCACGUCUGUCGCUGCAAGGUUCAUACAGAUCACCCUCGCAGCUCAUGAGGGCAUUACAAUAUCUUCCAUCGAGUCUGGUGGCUACAAGAACCUUGUGGGAUCAGACAAACAAACCGGAGUGAUAGACAUCGAUAACAUGUACGCGGGGGAGCAGAAGAACUUCAUAGUCUACCUAAGAGUCGGGGAGAGCACCAAGAAGCUUCUGACCAUCGGCGGCCAGUACAGAAGCUUCGAUGCGAGCAAGCGGCUGGCUGACAAGGAUGUCUUCAUUCUGCGACCACUCUCCGACUGCUCACCCGACAAGCUAGGCAUCCAUCAUGAGGUGGCGGCGGAGCGCAUGCGCAUCUGGCUCAUGAAGGGAUUAUUGGUCAUGGUGGAGAUGCAACAUCCCAUGUGCGGUGAGGGCCCACGGGAACUAUGGAACAGUAUCAGGCACCCUAGCGAGGGCCACUGUGCAACCAAGGAAACCAUGGUGAACCUCAGCAAUGACGUGACUGAGAUUGAAAGGAACAUUAGAGACUAUCUAAACAUCUAUGAAAGAUGGUACACGAAGGUCCCUUACCUAAUGUCAUGGCUGAGUUGCCACAAGUGGCAGCGUGCUACCACCAAGGGCUCAUGCUAUGACUCCAGUGCUUUCGCCCUAUCACAACUCGAUGCCUCAGAGCAGCAUACCCACGAGGUGGCCAACUGUUCAUCACGGUUAGUUCAUCCUAGCAUCCAUGAUUACUCGGUCACGAUGAUGAACCCAGGGUUCAUACUGUACAUUGCAGACCCACGAGGUGGCCAAUUGUUCAUGAGGUGGCUAAGAUUUGUCAAGCUUAUUUUUUUAUGCAUCUCCCUCACGGCCGUGCUGCGCAUACAUGGUGAUGUCGGAGCCCCAGGAGACGAGGUUCCACCGUGGCAUCCGGUCGAACAGGUGGCGGGCGCUGUCAAGGCGGACCAGCUUGAUUGGAGCAGCCGCGGAGGAGCAGGUUGGUCAGGAAGAGGCACGGGAGAGCCUCGGUGGAGAAGGAGCCGGUCGCCGGCGAGGCAUGAGAGGAGGAGCUGGGCGAGGCUGGCUCAUGUGCCGCCGGCUCGGGACAGGGCAACGAGCUUCUUCACCUCCGGCGCGUUCUUGAUCAACCGCGCGUCCCAUGUACGACAUCCCGUCAGAAUCGAGCGCGUCGACGCGGGAGUCGAGGAGCGCCGGUCUUUGUCCAUCUGCCCAACCACCCACGACGCGGGAGUCGAGGAACGGCGUCGUCGUGGAGGUGCGCGUCGUUGCCCAACCGCCCCACCAGCCACCACCCACGACGCCGCCCCGCCGCUCGCGCCACCUGCCCGAACUUCUCGCCCCCUCCCCACUCAACGCUCUCUCCGGCCGCGAUUGAGUGGAUUAGUUCGAGGUCAGUGGCGAGGGAGGCGACGACAGCCGGCGGUGAGAGGAGGAGCAUCGGGGUCGCGCCCCGGCGAGUCUUCCUCAUUCCCCACGCCGGCGUCAGGUACGCGGGGCGGAGCGGGUGGACACGCCGGCGGCUUCAGUUCAGGGAUGAACAGUAGAGCGCGCAGAUGGCACGCUCUGGGGGUGAUCACCACGGGCAUGGCAUGCUCUGGCGCCUUCCCGUGUGUUUGCGAUCUGCCAUUUGGAAUUGGCUUUGCCAAAAACAUGCUCAUUUUUGUUGUGGCAUUGUUUGGUGGAUGCAACCUUUGGGAAAAUUGUGGAGGAAGCUAUGGGUUUUGGGUGUGGCUCAAAUUUGGUGGUCCUGAGAGGCUCUGCAAAUAUUUUGGGGAUUUUAUGUACAAGGAAUAUGGGUGUUGCAGUUCAACUGGGGUCCUGGGGUUUCUGUUAGCAGAGGGGGCAGUUAGGCAAACAAAAAAAGACAUGAGGCGAAACAAGAAAGGAAUUUUCCAGAAGGGAAAAUCCAGGGUGUUACACGCGUCGCCGGCGGCAGCGACAUCGAGUCAAGGCGAUGAUGGUGUCGAUCUAGGAGGUCACAGCUUCGAUCCAAGAAAGGCUCCGACCUGGGAGCACCUCGUUUUUGUGUGGAAAGAUAGACCAAUCCCUUCUAUACUCCUCAUGUUAAUCGCUCAUUCCAUACUAGUUGAGUAG
rnacentral:rRNA from 1 species